CGGAUCCUAAAAGCACGAGGCGUCAGCAAGUCGUCGCCUCGAGUCUGGGACGGUGACGUGGCAGCACUCGGUUAGCGAAAUUGCGUGCUGGUUAAUUCUCUAACCACGGUUAAACCAAGAGCUGCAGUCCCCAAAAAAAAAUGGCGCCUACAUAAACCCCUAGGCUCUCCCCAUUCUCGAUGCCUUGUUAUCCUCCUCCGACGGCCCGCGGUUCUCUCUCUCUCUCUCUCUCUCUCUCUCUAAAAAGCUUAGGUUUUUUUUUUGGCUUGUGUACUCCGGUUGUGAUGUGUCCUCGGCCGCCGGAGUUUUUACUGGUUGAUUUCUGCGAGCACUCGAACGAUGAAGAGACGGGACUCUUGUUGAGGGGAAGUAAAGAUGAGGAUCCGGUUCCGAACGUGAUCACAGAAGCGAACAACCACGGCUGCGUUGACCCCCACUAUUCUCAUGUAGUCGUAGGUCAUUUGAUCACAUCAUCUGGUAGACAACAUACUGACGCCUCAUUGAAGCUGGGAUCUUAGAAUGCAGAAGCAGCAAUGAGGGUUAGGUUUUUGGUUCUGUCUUACAACAUUCUAAAAAAUGGGUAUUUGGAUUGGCACUCCGUUUUAUUUGGUGUGGGAUCUUAGAGACUAUAGUUGAAUAUGCAAGUCAUUUGUUUGGUGUGGGAUCGGCACUCCGUUUUAUUUCUUUAAACUUGGAAUCAGAACCUUCUAGUUUGGCAACACACUUUGAGAAGUAGAAUGGGUAAUUAGACUUUCUAAUGUCUUUAUAUACAUAUAUGUAAGUUGUUACUUGUCAUUCUUCUAAAAAUAUUGUUGUGGACAUCUGUUUGGUUAAAAUGAGACCUAGUUGGUUAUGCCUUGAACAUUAUUUGGACUCUUGGCAAACACAAGUCUGUGUUCUUCAUCCUUGCUUGAUUCCUAGAUUUAAUUCACGCUUACUUAGCUGGUUCUCUUGCUAAAGGUGGUAAUACCUCAAACAGAAAUGUAUUUUCUUGUCAAGCAUAAUUUGCUUUCUACAUGCUUGUUUGACUUCCUAUCUCAAUUCACUUACAUAGUUUAUCCUGUCGUUUAUCUAUUCUGUCCUCUUGGUAAUUGUGUUUCCAAGGUUAUCGAUAGCGGAUAACGUUACGUAGCGGUGAGGUAUCACUAAGGCUAUUUCGGGCUAUUACGGCAAAAUAACGGUAAAAAGCGCAAAGACAAAUAACGGUCUAAUUUAGAUAUGUAUAAAUACUAAAAUAAAUAAAUAAAAAAAUAUAUAAGAAAUCUAAAAAUACAUAUUGGAUGAUUUGAAGAGAUCUUAAACAUGAAAUAGAUAUGUAACCAUCACAUAAUACCGAAGAUGACUGGAGGAGUCAAAAAAUCGUCGUCUUCGAGAAGAAGAGCUUAGCGGUGACAUGACUGCCCUAAGAGGAGCUCACGGUGAAGGAGGUGAGAGGAAGUAUCAAAGUAGGUGUCAGAGGCUAUGAGAGGUGGCAAGAGUAUGCUGAAAAUCACAGGAGACGGUAGAAUACAAUGGUCAAGGGUUGAGUUUAAUUUAAAAAAAAUAAGCCUCAAACCGUUUUUAAAUAGCAGUCAAAAAGCAAAUUUCGAAUGCAAUCACUUACUAUUUACCGUUAUGACACAUUAUUGGCCGUUUUUGCGAACAGAUAUAUUCCGCAAUAUGUCACCGCUAUUGCGCGAUAGCAUAGCGGGCGAUAGCGUCGCGAGAAGGGACCGCUAACGCUAUUAGCGCCGCUAUUGCGGGGCUAUUUACCGCUAUUUAUAACAGUGUGUUUCUAUCUCUGUUUCCCUUGUCUACCACUGAAUGUUUUAUUACUAUGUGUCAUUUCUAUCUAACUUAAAUAGAAAAUCCUAUGUUUAACCUGUCCAUUGCACAGUCAUGCAUGACGGGUAUUUGGAUGAUAGUCAAGAUCAUAUUAGAAUACAAGAAGGAUAUUUGGAAGAAUGAUAAGCUCUUCAACAUAGUAGAAGAGUACUUUGGUAGCUCCCUUCAGACUCCAGACUUUUGCACUGCCUUAGAAAAGUGCUUCAAGGGAGCCCGAGAGUCUCAGAUUGCCCUUCACAUUGCUCUCAGAAGAUUCGAAGAAGAGGGAACUAAUGAAGAAAGUAGUAGGGGAGAAUAUGUGAAGAUAUUGGACGAAUUAAUGCAUUUUAAGGAUGUGGGUAAUUCAUUUACCAAAGAAUACCUUAAUAUGUUCCAAUCCGUUUAUAAACAGCAAGUUUCAAUGCUGGAGAAGCUAAAAAAGAAGAAGAAAAAGCUCGAUAAAAACUCCGAUUGAUGAAGGCAUGGAGGAGGAUUUUGACUGUGAUCUUUGUGUCCGUGUUUGCUUUGGUUCUUAUUACGUCUGUGGUGGCUGCUGCAGUUCCGGCACCAGCCUUCAUCACUGCAUUAUUAGCAUUGGCAGCAGCUGCUAUGGGUCCAAUAGGGAAAUGGUGCAAUACACGUUGGAAUGACUAUUUCAAUGCUCUGAAGGCACCCAAGGAGUUAUUGAACUCAAUGCAAGCUGGGACUCAUGUCACUAUAUCGAAUUUGGAACGACUGAAAGUUCAGACUGUCUUUGCUUCAGAAUGUUGAGUUCGUGCUUCGAGUAGAGGAGCCUGUGAAGUUUGUGACUGAGAAGAUUAAGAAGAAGCUUGAGUUGUUUAUGAGGACUGUUGAGGAUUUGAGGAAGCAGGCUGAUUGGUGCAGAAGGGAUAUAAGAAGGGCGAGGACUGUUGUGUUGAAGAGGAUCAUCAGGCAUCCAAAUUAAACUGAAGGAGGAUCACUAGGUAUUGAGCUUCUUUCUAUGCAUUGUUGUUGCUGUUUUCCUUUUUCUUUCUAUAAUUUGAUAUUUUUUAUCUGUGGAAUAAAUGUGGAUUCUCUAUAUUUGGUGGCUUUUAGGUUUUGAGUAGAUGAAUUGGAUUGAAUUUUGUGCAACAUUGUAAACUGUAUUAGUUCAGUGUUUCUUUCAUAAUCUAUGUAGUAAUAAUGUAAUAUAGCUCUCUAGCUUUCAACUUUAAGCCCCAUUGAUUCUUGAGGUUGAUGUGAAAUUUUAAGGCUUACAGGAUUGAGAUGUUUGUUUUUAUAGCCUUAGCCUUUAAGGAUUAAUAAAUACAGAAUGCUAGAUCCUCUCCAAUGUGAAAUUAUCGGAGAAAUUCUAUACUUGAUCCAAGAAGUGACCAUACAAGCUGGUACGGAAUAGCAUCAUAACUAGGAGCCAGGGUACAAGUUUAUUAGAAUUUUGCAUGGUGCAAUAGAUGUCAGCAACAAAGAAAGCUUCUCAUAUGUGGAACAUCAUGUUACCAAGUGAAGCUUAGCUCAAACAAGUUGUAAAUGGCCAAAAUUGAGAGGGAGUUCCUGCAAAUGAUAGCUACAGCAGCAAGCUUGACCGGGUCAACAGAGCAAGUAUUUGAGGACAAAUAAUGGGGGUGAAUACACCUCAAAGGAGUUCAAGCAAUUUUGUGUUGAAUGAGCCAUGCAGCAUCAGCUGAUAGUACCUAGGCAAUCAGAACAGAAUGGGGUAGCGGAGAGCAUGAAUCAGGCACUACUAGAGAGAGUCAGAAGCAUGAGAUUACAGUCAGGCCUAGUGAAGUGCUUCUGGGCAGAAGCAGUGAAUCAUGCAUGCUAUUAGGUCAAUCGUUCACUAUCGACUACCAUCAAUAUUCAGAUCCCAAAAGAAGUUUGGAUGGGAGAACUAGUUAAUUAUGAUUCCUUGAGAGUGUUUGGGUGUCCUGCCUACGCUUAGUGCAUAGGAACAAGAGGAGCAAACUGGAUGCAAAGUCAAAGAGAUGCUACUUCAUUGCGUUUCAGAAGGGCGUCAAAGGUUCAUGUUAUGGGAUCUGGAAAGCAAGAUCACAUUCGUAAGCAGAGAUGUCACUUUAGAUUAGGAGUCCAUGUUAGGUGAUGAUGAGCAGGAACCACAAAAGGACAGUGAAGAAGAUGUGAAGGAGCAUUUAGUGCAAACAUGAACACAGCAUCUUAAUGGUACAAACACAAACACAGGAGGCGCAACUUAGGACGGUGAAGCAAAUGUGGACCAACAAAUAGUUAUAGACAUAGAUGGUGAUGAGAAGACUCAUCCCCAACAGGAGUAUUUUUAGCACAAAGGCGAUAUAGAACCCACAAGACACCGGUUAUACGAUUUCGAAGAUAAUCAUGUGGCAUUUGCUCUGGUUACGGAGAGCGGUGAUCCAAGCACGUAUAAGGGUCGAUAGCAACAAGUGGUUGAUUGUCAUGAUAGAGGAGAUGGAGUCACCUUGAAAGAAUUAGACAUGGGAUCUAGUCACAUUGCCGAAGGAUAAACGAGCUAUAGGAUGAAAAUGAGUAUUGAGGAAAAAGGAGAAUAAGCAGUACACGCCUCAUGGUGAAGGGUUACGCUCAGAAAGAGGGGGUUGACUACAACGAGAUAUUUUCUUCGGUAGUCAAACAUACAUCGAUUCGGGUGUUGUUAGUGACGCUAGUGGGGCAUGACAUGGAGUUAGGGUAGUUUGAUGUGAAAACAACAUUUUUACAUGGUGAACUUGAAGAGGUUAUCUACAUGAAGUAUCUAGAA